rnacentral:rRNA from 1 species
CACGUAGGGCGCAAGCGUUGUCCGGAUUUAUUGGGCGUAAAGAGCGUGUAGGCGGCCAGGUAGGUCUGCUGUGAAAACUCGAGGCUCAACCUCGAGAUGUCGGCGGAAACCAUCUGGCUAGAGUCCGGAAGAGGAGAGUGGAAUUCCUGGUGUAGCGGUGAAAUGCGCAGAUAUCAGGAAGAACACCCGUGGCGAAGGCGGCUCUCUGGGACGGUACUGACGCUGAGACGCGAAAGCGUGGGGAGCGAACAGG